ACCUCCCCCGCCAAGCAGCAGCAGCAGCAGCAGCAACAACAGCAGCAGCUCCCUCAUCAGCCAGUACGCAACCUCCACCAAUCUGGCUUCAGCCUGUCCGGCGCCCAGAUUGACGACAACGUUCCCCGUCGUACCACUCAACGUAUCGUGGCACCCCCUGGUGGGAAAGCAAACAUCACCAGCCUUGGUUAAGCCGCUUUCCCUCGAUUGAGCCGCGGGGAGGAACAUGGGAGCAGGAUCCACGGUUACCACAAUCACUCCUGGCUCCCCUGCAUCCCUUCUGUCCAUUUUUACUCUCACCACCUCCACCAUGUCACCUCAUUCAAGGAAGAGAAAAAAACCAUGUUGUUUCAUGCCUCCUGCCACAUUCCUGUAUCGACGUAGGAGAAAGGGAAUUUAGGAUUUUUUUUUUAUGCACAUCCAUUUGAAUUUUGAUGAUUUCAGUUGUCUACAUAGUUUUAUAAUGUCUGCUCUACACGUUAAAGCUGUUCCAAGAAUAGAUCAGAACGCUAGACAAAAGCUUAAGGCCAGGGGAGUCAGUUUUAUGACAUUUUAACAGCAACAAAUGUUCAGUUUUGUGUUGUUCUUAUUGCAGAUGAUUGAAUGUUCUGAUGACUGCGUAGCAGAAAGCGCUUUUGGCCAGAAAAAGCACCGGCCUGUCCACGUAAAAAUACUCUCGACUCUUGAUAAAAGACGGAAGCAAAAGAGUUUUAAUGGCGUAGGUCAGAAAACAGCGACCCACGUCUAUAGUAUGACGUCUUUGUUUUGCCAAGAAAUCACCAAACUAAUUUGGUGCGUAUAAAAGUAUAAAGUUAACAGCAGUAUGAUCAAGUGAUCAACAUUCGUUUUUGAGCCUGGGUACAGCUGGAGCUGAGCAGCGUGGAUCCUUACUUGGAUCCGCUCGGAUACAUUUCCUUUUUUUUAGACCAUGUUAUGCUGCACUGUCGACGAGGCAUGGGCUGGCAUGAGUUAUAGCCUUCGGG